GGGCGAUUAGCUCAGUUGGUAGAGCAUCUCCCUUACAAGGAGGAGGUCACUGGUUCGAGCCCGGUAUCGCCCACCA
rnacentral:tRNA from 11 species